UGCUCGUCAGGUAUUAGCGCGA
rnacentral:siRNA from 1 species